GCCGUGAUCGUAUAGUGGUUAGUACUCGCGCGGUUGUCCCGCAACCCCGGUUCGAAUCCGGGUCACGGCA
rnacentral:tRNA from 1 species